CAUGAAGCUCUGGUUCCAUGACUUCUGGAAAGCAAUGGCCAGUCUCAGAUUUAAGGAUUAACAGAAUUCUCCUAACAAUUCCAGAAUGGGAUGCUAAGAAACACGAUAGGCCAGGUGCGGUGGCUCACGCCUGUGAUCUCAUCACUUUGUGAAGCCAAAGUGGGCCUAUCACGAGGUCAGGGGUUCGAGACCAGCCUGACCAAUAUGGUGAAAGCCCGUCUCUACUAAAAUUACAG